rnacentral:lncRNA from 1 species
AUGCCUUUGCCGGCCCGCGGGACAGGUGGGAGCGCCUCCCACACCCACCCUCCUCCCACUGCCACAUGCUGUCGUGUUCUUGCUCUUUGGGAAACCGAGCAAAACUGUCUUUCAGUGUCCCCAACCCACUCGGCAACCCUCAGCACCCCACCCCCACAUCAUCUUUGGGGACACCCCCGGAGACCCGCACCUUCCCAGGCAGUUUCUGGGCUAGCGCCGCUCCCAGACGGCGAUGUGGAAAGCACCCGGUGGCUGUGGCCAGCUCCCCCGGCCUGUGGGGCUGUGACUUCUGGGCCAGGGCAGGACGGCGCCCUCUUUGCACAUCUGUCGGCCCCUCGUUUCGUCCUCUCUCCCGUGAGGCCCUGGGUGACUGGGAUCCUCUUUCCUUGUGCUUUUUCUGUGUUUCUCUUGGCGAGCAAACAAAUGGCCGUGUCUACGGGGGUGGGGCCGUGGGCUGAUGGCCUGCCCGAGGGCUGGCUGGAAGACGGGAACUCUGUGGGGACAGGGCUGCGUCCCCCGCCACAGCAGGAGGCUGCUUCUCGCGGCCGGGCGCGUGGCCUCCCUGGACCUCGUGGCCGACCCUCCUCGGCUUCCCCAUCCCGUGUCCUCCCGGGGGCUUUGCCCACAGCUGACACUCCGGCUCACGGUGGAGGCCAGGGGCCCCCUGGGGACUGGCAGGCCCGGGGAGGAGGGAGGGCCAAGGCACCCGGACGCGGCCACCCUGCCCAGAGAGGGCCGGAGGAGGGCGCGAGGCCCCGGGGGAGGGUUCCGGGACCCGUCCUGGUUCCCGCUCUGCUCACGGCUUGCCCGAGGCCGCCCUGGGAUCUGCUGCUUGCUCGGUGUCUGCGGGGAGGGCUCCAGGCUGGGGUCUGGGUCUGGGAGGCAGUGUCUGCCCCGCCCACUCCAGGGUCAGGCCUGAUGCAGUGUAGGCCUCGUGCCGGUGUUGGGGGGGGGGCUCUGGCAGGGGCUGGACCCCCUCUGCUGGGUGCCUUGGGGGUCCCUGUCUCCUCCCCGAUGAGGUGGCCGGCUCCUCCAACCUGCUCAGGGUUCUGCACGGAGCAGGUGCGCGGUGAACACUGUCGAGGCGCGUGGCCACCGCCCGGUCCCAGGGGAGGAGGGGCCCGGCUCCCUGGAAAGACAGGGCCGUGUAGACCAAAGAACUCCGAGCGUUCGCCCGGCUCCUCCUGCGUGCUGGCCCAGGGGUGGAGGGGAUCGGCCUCCACGCUGCCCACCUCCUUUGGGCUGGGUGUGCCUCCUCCCCUGUCCCAGGCGAGACUGCCAACCCCACCUGCUUUACAGAAUUUCCUCAAGAGUCUGGAGACGGCUGGUGUCCGGGCAGAAAAAGAGGGAGCCAAGGCAGGCGGUUGGUGGUCAGCUCCCCUCGGGGCUCCUGGCAUCCAGGGAAAAGGGGACACCUCUGUGGGGACACCUGGGGGGACACCUCUGUGGAGACACCUCUGUGGGGACGGGGACACCUGA